rnacentral:misc_RNA from 1 species
CCGAGUUUUCAACUCCCAAACCCCUGUGAACAUACCAUUCUGUUGCCUCGGCGGAUCACCGCGCCCGUUAACACCGGGACGGCCCGCCAGAGGACCCAAACUCUAUGUCUUUAUGUGUAUCCUCUGAGUAACACUAUAAAUAAAUCA